AUUGAACGCUGGCGGCAUGCCUUACACACGCAAGUCGAACGGCAGCACGGGGCAACCUGGUGGCGAGUGGCGAACGGUGAGUAAUGCAUCGGAACGUGCCAUUGAGUGGGGGAUAACGUAGCGAAAGUUGCGCUAAUACCGCAUAUUCUGUGAGCAGGAAAGCAGGGGACCGCAAGGCCUUGCGCUCUUUGAGCGGCCGAUGUCAGAUUAGCUAGUUGGUGAGGUAACGGCUUACCAAGGCGACGAUCUGUAGCGGGUCUGAGAGGAUGAUCCGCCACACUGGAACUGAGACACGGUCCAGACUCCUACGGGAGGCAGCAGUGGGGAAUUUUGGACAAUGGGCGCAAGCCUGAUCCAGCCAUGCCGCGUGAGUGAAGAAGGCC
rnacentral:rRNA from 1 species